rnacentral:rRNA from 1 species
ACAGAGGUGGCGAGCGUUGUUCGGAUUUACUGGGCGUAAAGGGCGCGUAGGCGGCGCGGUGUGUCGGGUGUGAAAUCCAUGGGCUCAACCCAUGAAGUGCGCCCGAAACUGCCGCGCUCGAGUUCGGGAGGGGGGAUCGGAAUGCAGGGUGUAGCGGUGAAAUGCGUUGAUAUCCUGCAGAACACCGGAGGCGAAGGCGGAUCCCUGGAACGACACUGACGCUGAGGCGCGAAAGCAGGGGGAGCAAACAG